rnacentral:rRNA from 1 species
GUGCCAGCAGCCGCGGUAAGACGGAGGAUGCAAGCGUUAUCCGGAAUGAUUGGGCGUAAAGCGUCCGCAGGUGGCAGUUCAAGUCUGCUGUCAAAGACCGGGGCUUAACUUCGGAGAGGCAGUGGAAACUGAACAGCUAGAGUAUGGUAGGGGCAAAGGGAAUUCCCGGUGUAGCGGUGAAAUGCGUAGAGAUCGGGAAGAACAUCGGUGGCGAAAGCGCUUUGCUGGACCAUAACUGACACUCAGGGACGAAAGCUAGGGGAGCGAAUGGGAUUAGAUACCCCAGUAGUCC